GUAGGAGGACAAACAUGACACAAACCUCCGUAAUUGUUAUAAAUCACACUGUUUAUAUUAAAUAUGCUUCACUGAUUCAAGUAUUUGGCGAGCGCCGUUUUGUCCUACUUAUUUUGGCGGUCCUUGAACUCACCGUAUAGUCUGUUUACAUGCAUAACUUUCUCCGACUUUCUAGGACGUGUUUUAUGCCACUUCUUUUUCUGUCUCAUUUUGUCCACCACACUUUUAACGUUGUACAUGAGUGCACAAAGGUGCAGAAAAAAGGAAGAAGAAGAAAGUGGAAGAGGAGAAAAAAUGCCAUGAUAAAGGAGCAUUGUUAAAAUACUUUGGAGGCACAGAAUCAGCCCAGAGCCAGUCCACAUCCUCAGGCUCAACUGUGAGUGAUGAAUCAGUGCUCUCUCACACACCUCCAUCCUCUGUGCCCACUGUCCCCUCCAUGUCUGAAACCACAGCUGAUUUAUCUACAACUUCCACCACAACGUCCCCUUCACACCAUGGACCAUCAUCAGCUCCGCCAGUUGACCCAGCUGAGUGGCCUUCUUUCCUCUCAGAUUCAGACAGGAUUUAUGUUCUUAACUGGGCCACCCCCAUAUCUUUAUAAAUGACACGUCAUUUGUAAAGACAUGCCAGGCUGACAAUAGGAUAAUGUAAACAACACUGCCAGAGCCGCAAUGAGUUUAUAGUAGGUGUGUGAAUGAUCAAUAAUCAAUAUUAUUGGCAGAUAUAGAGGGCCCCAAAAUCAAAUUUUGCUUAGGGCCCCAUGGAGGCUUGGGCCGGCACUGGGUUUUGGGGAAAGUUGCCCAGAACCUUUAAGUAGGAACUUAAUAAUAACCUAGGUCCCUAUUCUCCCAUGUAAUUGAGUAAAAAAGAUGUACAAAUGCGCAGAUUCUCCCACUUGACUUAAAUCAGUCACUGCGUGCCUUCAUUCGAGAUGCGUAACCCUUAAAUCUGGCCUUUCCUGUAUUCUCCCAUUGACGUAAGUACUUUUGCUCUUAUGUGCUUCUGAGGCUGGAAUGAGUCCAGCGCUCAUGGAGGGUGAAACAUUAUAUUGCAUUUAAGUCCCAUCUUAAAACUCAUUUGUAUACUCUAACCUUUAAAUAGACCCCCUUUUAGACCAGUUGAUCUGCCGUCUCUUUUCUGCUCUGCCCCCCUCUCCUGCGUGGAGAGGUUACCAGGUGACCACAGAUGCAGCGCUAAUUGUUCAAAGUCAGGACCUGGGGUGGACCACUCCUCUGUGCAUCAGUUGGGGGCGUCUCUGCGCUACUGACUUGUCUCCAUUCUAGAUGAUCCCCUGCUGGCCCCACUAUGGACUGGACUCUCACACUAUUAGCUACAUCCACUCGACAUCCAUUGGGAUGUCGAGUGACCACAUCUGCGGUCCCCUCCAAGGUUUCUCGUUGUUCCCAUUGGGUUGAGUUUUUUCUUGCCCUGAUCUGGGAUCUGAGCCGAGGACGUCGUUGUGGCUUGUGCAGCCCUUUGAGACACUUGUGAUUAAGGUUUAUAUAAAUAAACUUUGAUUGAUUGAUGCAGUAUACACCACAUGUAAUAACAAUUAUAAAAGAAACUUACAGAAAAAUAUUAAAUCUAUUCUGAUUGCUUUAAUUUAGACACGUGGAAACAUUCAUUGAGAUGAUGACGAACUAACUCUAAUGCCUUUCUAAAUUAACUGUCAAAAAUCAAAAUGCACAUCAGCACGGUCCUCUUACAGCGGAAGAAGACCGUGUGUAUGUUUGGACUUCCAGAGACUGAAGGACAAUCCUUACAUACAAGGAUUUAAUCUGGAUUGUGAGGUCAUCCUCAAACUAUGUGACUAUGUAAUGGAAAAUACAUAUUUAA